CGUUUCCCGCCGCGCGCGCGCCGUCCAUCCCGGAAUGGCCCGCGUUGGGAAACCCCCCCAAAAAUCACUGAGUUCGGCCAUUUCCCCUCGAGCACGCUGCCGAGCCUGCCGCCAAGCCGUGUCCCACAUCCCACAUCGCUCCGGACACCGGGGCUCCGCCGCUGCCCCGGGCGGUUGGUGCCAGUGCCUGAGCCCUCUCUCUGUGAGAAGAAAAAGUUCCUAAAAUCCGAGUUAAACCUAGAAACUGAAGGUCACAUGUCAGAAGAUGAACCUGUUGCAUUGCGGGAUGUCCCACGCGUGACUGCACCAGUGCCUGUGUGUGGGUAAAGGGCAGCACCAGAGCAUUUUUCCAGACACUCCAAAUGCCCUGGAGGGAACAGGGAGCCUCGGCCUCCCUUUGUUUCAGAGUUUUCUGCUGCUCCUGUCGGUUAACCAUCACAAGUAAUUAAGAUCUAUAAGAUAACAUGGGUCAUACCUAUGCUUCGGCAGGCUGCCAGUGGAGUGUCUUCGCAACAGGAACAUCAAACAAACUCCAUAAUUGCAAAGUUUGUAACGGGAAUAUUUCCUCUGCAGUUCGGACAGUCUGUGCCACUCGUGAUCACACGUCAGUAGCAUUAGGGAAGUCCCAAAUUCUGCUUUCUGGAGUUGCACAAUGCACAUUGUGUUUGAUGACAGCAGAUUUACAUGGUCAGGAGAGGAAACACGGGGUUGCACAGCCAUGGGGGUCAUGUCUUGGUAACCAAGGUGAAGAAUUCACCACUCUGCUCUCAUACAUGAUUCAGCCAUUCCCAGAUCUUUCCUGUCCCAAAUUACUGUUUUAAUUUCUACUCCAUAUAGUUUCCUCAUGGCUUGAUUCAGGCCUCCUUUUAUCUUGUGCUGCUCUUUGUGAAAAUGCAUUUAUAAUGAAAUCCCUGAAUGAUUUAGGUUGGAAUAGACCUUAAACAUCAUCUUGUUCCACCCCUGCCAUGGGCAGGGACACCUUCAUCUGUCCCAGGUUGCUCCAAGCCCUGGCCAGCUUGGCCUUGGACACUUCCAGGGAUCCAGAGCAGCCAGAGCCUCUCUGGGAAAUUUGUGCCAGGGCCUCUCCAUCUUUGCAGGGAAGAAUUCCCUCCUAAAUGUGAAAGUCACUUGUGGAAACCAAGGGCACCAGGAAUAUUUCUCUUUCUGCACUGGGGUGUCCUGACCCCCAGGGGAGCACUGACUUUGACCCUCAUUAAUGGAGAAGGUUUCCUAGACUUCAAGAUAGACUAGAAUCAAAAAAAAAAAAAAAAAAGUGAAAUAGAUUAUAGAGAGUAGUGUAGGUGUGUCACUUGGUGAGAAAUUGAGGUUUUGGGAUUUUUAGUAUGUUGUGGAUGGAAUCAAGAUGGAGGGCACAGGGUGUUGUCCUGGGUUUCUUCUUCAUGCUUCUUCUUCCUUCUUCUUCUUGGUUUAGGUGGUAUUUUGUAAUUGGGCAGAAAAGUCCACACUGGGGGCUCUGUGGGAUCAAUUAUUGGGUUAAAAGGGAAAAUAAUGUAAGUGUCAGUUCUUAAUAGGACAGUUUAGUC